rnacentral:rRNA from 1 species
UACGAAGGGGGCUAGCGUUGCUCGGAAUCACUGGGCGUAAAGGGUGCGUAGGCGGGUUUUUAAGUCAGGGGUGAAAUCCUGGAGCUCAACUCCAGAACUGCCUUUGAUACUGAAGAGCUUGAGUCCGGGAGAGGUGAGUGGAACUCCGAGUGUAGAGGUGAAAUUCGUAGAUAUUCGGAAGAACACCAGUGGCGAAGGCGGCUCACUGGCCCGGUACUGACGCUGAUGUGCGAAAGCGUGGGGAGCAAACAGG